rnacentral:rRNA from 1 species
GACGAACGCUGGCGGCGUGCCUAAUACAUGCAAGUAGAACGCUGAAGCGAGGAGCUUGCUCUUCUUGGAUGAGUUGCGAACGGGUGAGUAACGCGUAGGUAACCUGCCUUGUAGCGGGGGAUAACUAUUGGAAACGAUAGCUAAUACCGCAUAACAAUGGAUGACACAUGUCAUUUAUUUGAAAGGGGCAACUGCUCCACUACAAGAUGGACCUGCGUUGUAUUAGCUAGUAGGUGAGGUAACGGCUCACCUAGGCGACGAUACAUAGCCGACCUGAGAGGGUGAUCGGCCACACUGGGACUGAGACACGGCCCAGACUCCUACGGGAGGCAGCAGUAGGGAAUCUUCGGCAAUGGGGGCAACCCUGACCGAGCAACGCCGCGUGAGUGAAGAAGGUUUUCGGAUCGUAAAGCUCUGUUGUAAGUCAAGAACGAGUGUGAGAGUGGAAAGUUCACACUGUGACGGUAGCUUACCAGAAAGGGACGGCUAACUACGUG